rnacentral:lncRNA from 1 species
UUUACGGAGCCGGAGGCGCUACCUGAAGAAGAAGCAAACAGGACGACCAGAAGCUAUCGCCAGGGCCUUGAAGAGGUAAUUGUACAUGGAUCUUCACUACUAGCCCUCUCCUCAAUUCGCUCUUACGGAGUACUUGUUUUUGCUGACAUUUGAACAUAUCCACAUUCUUUGCUUUUUUUUUUCGAAAAGGGGGAUCACCCCGGCCUUUGCAUCCUUGCUUUUUGCAGACAGCAACUUAUGGUUCCAAGCAUUGGUACUUACAAAAACCUUAUACAUGAUUAAGCAGCUAGCAUAGGUCUUAAAUUUCUACACAUCUGCAACAGUUAUUAACCAUGUGCUCCAAUAAUGGGCAGGGUCGCUUGAGGAAGCAAAGGAAUUGCUGGCGGAUCUCCUUGGUAAAAACUAGUGUCUCUUCAUCUUCUUCUAUGCAUUAGGACCUGGUAGCUCAAAAGCAUCCAGAAUAGAAUACAUCUGAUCUACUUAUAUUGUUCUACUGUCUCAAGACACCAGCUACGAAUUUUUUGUAUCUAUGGGAACUGAUGAAUUUGUGUGACCUUCAGAUGAAACUGUAAGACCUGGCGUACAAUUGAACACCUAUGGUUUCAGCUGUCCACUUCAGCUGGGUAGGAAUGAAGG